AACAGAAAGUAGCUUGCUACUUUGCUGACGAGCGGCGGACGGGUGAGUAAUGCCUAGGGAUCUGCCCAGUCGAGGGGGAUAACAGUUGGAAACGACUGCUAAUACCGCAUACGCCCUACGGGGGAAAGGAGGGGACCUUCGGGCCUUUCGCGAUUGGAUGAACCUAGGUGGGAUUAGCUAGUUGGUAAGGUAAUGGCUUACCAAGGCGACGAUCCCUAGCUGUUCUGAGAGGAUGAUCAGCCACACUGGGACUGAGACACGGCCCAGACUCCUACGGGAGGCAGCAGUGGGGAAUAUUGCACAAUGGGGGAAACCCUGAUGCAGCCAUGCCGCGUGUGUGAAGAAGGCCUUCGGGUUGUAAAGCACUUUCAGUAGGGAGGAAAGGUAGCAGCUUAAUACGUUGUUGCUGUGACGUUACCUACAGAAGAAGGACCGGCUAACUUCGUGCCAGCAGCCGCGGUAAUACGAGGGGUCCAAGCGUUAAUCGGAAUUACUGGGCGUAAAGCGUACGCAGGCGGUUCAUUAAGCCAGAUGUGAAAUCCCCGGGCUCAACCUGGGAAUUGCAUUUGGAACUGGUGAACUAGAGUCUUGUAGAGGGGGGUAGAAUUUCAGGUGUAGCGGUGAAAUGCGUAGAGAUCUG
rnacentral:rRNA from 1 species